AUGUACCAAACGUACACUCCGGGUUUCUCCGCGCCGUCCACACCCACCUGACGACUGCUCGCUACGCUCUGUCAGCC
rnacentral:sRNA from 1 species